UCCCCGUGCCGGAAUCCUGCCAGCGCCCCAGAGAGUCGCCACAGAGGAGCCGCUCCCUCCGGAGCCCGAGUGACCCCUCUCCUCCCAGGCCCCUCCGGGCUCGGUGUCGGGGCAGUCACAGGGAUGAGAACCUCCUUCCUGCCCCUUUAUCGCUCCCUCUCCAGGUGAGGCUCCGAGGAGGAGAAAUGGCCGCCAGGCUCCGUCCCCCCUGACUCUUCCUCGGGCCUCGGGGUCAGAAAAGCGGCUGGAUCCGGGAGGAGCCCUGGCGGCCCGAGUGACAAAGGCCGCUUUUCUUCCUGCGCUGGAAUCACGUCAUGUUGUUAAACCGCAUUUGGGGGCAAUUGUUCCAAUUCAUGGUUGGGACAGGAGGUCUGAAAUCAAACAGACAAUUCCAGACAGUUGGAAGAUAGACCUCAUUUGACAUCAGAUUAUCCAUACUGUGAAAGAUCUUAAGAACGUAAUGACUAUGGGAAGACUUUCUGCCUGACUACAGCUUUUAUCUAAGGGAUGUGUCGAGGGUUAGGAUUGACUACCUAUCAAUUACAACCAUUAAAUGACACUUUAAGGAGAGACACUGUUUUAAACUCACCACGUCAGCUUACAAAAAAAGCUCACGAGUCUUUCAGAGAACUUGAACUGACUUUAUCCAAUGUGGUUGAAUGUCAUUCAAAAACCCUUGGAAAUAUCAGUUUUUGCUACACAAGAGGCACCCACAGCAGUCCUUCAUCAAGCAGACAGUGUGUGAUAGAAUGGGUGAACCUCCCAACACAACCAGAACAAACUCUUAAUCUUUACGCAGUGCCUAUGGCUAGAAUUUUAUUAAAAGCCAUUGAGCGAGCAGUACAAUUAACUGGGAUAAGAUAUACACCAUUUAUACUAAUGCACAAAUUAAUGUAUGCUGUGAAACCAUCCCAGAGUGGCAAAUUUUAUUAGCUAUGGCUCCAAAUUUUACACACGGGACUCCAUUAAAGAGAACCAGACUAUUACAUAAUUGACAGUGGAUUCUUGAAGAAAAGGUUUUUAAAGGUCCUCUUAAAGGACCAACUCUCUUUACAGAUGCAUCCAAACGGAAUAUUUGUGCUGUAUACUCUUGUGACUUAACUGUAAAGAGAGUACUCAGAAUUCCUUUUCAGUCCACUCAGCAGAAUGAAUUGUAUGCGAUCAUUCUAGCUCUUACUUAUUAUCCAGGAGGGAUAAAUAGAGUAUCUGAUUUAGCCUGUUCAGUAGGUGUGGUACAAAAAAUUGCCAUAGCCCAAAUAAAAUUUGUAACCUCUAAUAUAUAUCAGCUCUUUUAGGAACUUCAAGAGCAAGUGAGAAAGCAUCCAGGUGAUGUGGAGAGGCCCAGAAAGUGGUGAAUGGAAGGGACCGGAUAUAUAAACUGCUUGGGGGAGAGGGUUUGCUUUUAUCUCCACAAAUGGAGAAGGAAUCAGAUGGGUACCAGUGAGCCAUAUUCACCUUGUCCAUCAGAGAGAUGGUAUUUUGAAUGGUAAUUCAAAGGCAGAUAGCCUUCUAACCAUGUUGGUCAAUACUCCUUUAUUUCAGGCAGCCCAAGAAUCUCAUUCUGAAUAUCAUCAGGCUGCUUGAGCUUUACGCUUACAAUUUGGAAUAACAAGAGAGGAAGGCAGCCCAAGAAUCUCAUUCUGAAUAUCAUCAGGCUGCUUGAGCUUUACGCUUACAAUUUGGAAUAACAAGAGAGGAGGGUAGGAGCAUAGUAAAAACCUGUACACCUUGCCUUCCCUUCCACGCUCCUACACUGCCUCCAGAGAAGAACCCUUGUGGUUUGAGACCCAUUGAAAUGUGGCAAAUGGAUUUGACCCAUUAUAAAUCUUUUGGUCCUCUGUCUUUUUUCCAUGUUGUGGUAGACACCUUUUCAGGAUUCACUUUUACAAUACCAGCAGCAAAAGAGACAGCCUGAGUGAUCACUGAAUUCCUUAUACAAGCAUUUGCAAUUAUGGGUGCGCCACAAGCAAGGAAAACAGACAAUGGACCUGCAUAUACUUCUAAACAUUUUGCACACUUUUGUGCACAGUGUAAGAUUUUACACACCACUAGCAUACCUUUUAAUCCUCAACUACAGGCAAUAGUAGAGAAGAGAAACAGAGACAUUAAGAUGCUCCUCUGAAAACAAAAGUAAGGGGGAGCCACAGACAACCCUAGAGAACUUGUAAAUCUAGCUCUUUAUACUAUUUCUUGAUUUUUGACAAGGUGCAUUGGCUCUGGCAGGCAGGUUUUAUAACCCACCGGAAGGGCAGUGUCCAGUGCGAGCCUCUCCAUUAUCUUUAAUCGCCAGGUGAUGUGGAGAGGCCCAGAAAGUGGUGAAUGGAAGGGACCCGAUAUGUUAACUGCUUGGGGGAGAGGGUUUGCUUGUAUCUCCACAAAUGGAGAAGGAAUCAGAUGGGUGCCAAUGAGCCAUAUUCACCUUGUC